AAGCGAAACCGGCCCGAUUGAGCCGGUCUGCCCAGCAUGGUGGCUGGGUACUGAUGAGCAACCAAGG
rnacentral:hammerhead_ribozyme from 2 species